UACGAAGGGGGCUAGCGUUGCUCGGAAUCACUGGGCGUAAAGCGCACGUAGGCGGCUUUUUAAGUCAGGGGUGAAAUCCUGGAGCUCAACUCCAGAACUGCCUUUGAUACUGGGAAGCUUGAGUCCGGAAGAGGUGAGUGGAACUCCGAGUGUAGAGGUGAAAUUCGUAGAUAUUCGGAAGAACACCAGUGGCGAAGGCGGCUCACUGGGCCGGUACUGACGCUGAGGUGCGAAAGCGUGGGGAGCAAACAGG
rnacentral:rRNA from 1 species